GGAAGGCUCUGCUCUUUAAAAAUAGCCGUUAGCCGGUUGUGACCACCGCAAUGGAAUUAGCGUCUAUAUAAAUCUCCAAGGACGUGAAACGCUGAUAUUUUACUUUUAUUUUUCUUUUUUUUUUCUACCGUUCGGUUACACGUUGAAAACCGGAAUGCCAUGCAGCGGUUGGAACUCGAUACAAAAUUUCUAACCAAAUUUAAAGGAGUCACUUUACGAUGUUGCUGACGUUUUUAUUACCAUGUCACUGUGACGUUAUCACAGCAAGCCUGCAAGUUUCGUUAGAAUUGUAUACGUAACUGAAUUUUGGAGAUGGAUUCGGGCUUAUGCAUCACUCACCUCUCAACGUUAUGUAAUACUGUACAAGAUCGCUGCAGCGGUUAGGUUCGGAAAUGGUCAUUCAAGACGCUCUUACGGUGGUCAAAUUCCGGACUAAAUUGAGCCUGUUGGAACUGAAAGUGUACAGACUUUGCAAUGCGGCAUCUGAUUGGGAUGAGAGAGCUAACGUAACCUUCGUCAUCGUUUAGUUUGAUGACUUUGUUUACGACUCGGAUGAGGGUCGAUGAUUGGAUAUUAACGACGAUAUGAAUUAUAACUUAAUGUCCACCGAUUUUGUAUUGCUUUUUGAAAUUUU
rnacentral:lncRNA from 1 species